rnacentral:rRNA from 1 species
GAUGAACGCUGGCGGCGUGCCUAAUACAUGCAAGUCGAGCGAACAGACGAGGCGCUUGCUCCUCUGACGUUAGCGGCGGACGGGUGAGUAACACGUGGAUAACCUACCUAUAAGACUGGGAUAACUUCGGGAAACCGGAGCUAAUACCGGAUAACAUGUUGAACCGCAUGGUUCAACAGUGAAAGACGGUCUUGCUGUCACUUAUAGAUGGAUCCGCGCCGCAUUAGCUAGUUGGUAAGGUAACGGCUUACCAAGGCAACGAUGCGUAGCCGACCUGAGAGGGUGAUCGGCCACACUGGAACUGAGACACGGUCCAGACUCCUACGGGAGGCAGCAGUAGGGAAUCUUCCGCAAUGGGCGAAAGCCUGACGGAGCAACGCCGCGUGAGUGAAGAAGGUCUUCGGAUCGUAAAACUCUGUUAUUAGGGAAGAACAAAUGUGUAAGUAACUAUGCACGUCUUGACGGUACCUAAUCAGAAAGCCACGGCUAACUACGUG